GUUCUAGAAUUUUGCAUAAGGUCUCUUCCUUGGAUAUUCCAAGGCAAUCAAUGAAAUUCAUAGCAAAACAAAGUAAUAAAUUAAUAGCAGUAGCAAUGAGUGAGAGUGCAAAAAAAGUAGCAGCCUCAAGAUAAAAUACAUAAAGGAAAGCUAAGCACUUAAUUACAUAAUUCAUUAUUUAUAAUAAGCUCUAUUUGGCAAAGGACAAAAAUUGUUCAGAAAAGUAGAUUUUUUAUGAGGCAGAAGCAGUGAAACUGAGCAAGCAGCAACCAUAAGCACUACCAUACAAUCAGCCUAAAGCAGGUUUACAAGUUGAACAUAAUGUAAAGCACAAGAAUCUGAAUGAAUACCUCAAUAAUCCAUGAUAAAGGUGAAAGAAAUUAGCUUGAAACUCUAACCAUGGACUAAAACAAAAGAGAACUAUUCAACAGAGAUACAAGCGCUGCAUUUAAAGCUGACACUAAGAAGAAAAAACAGACCAUUUGUAACAGCUAAGAUCGUUCCACUCAUCCUAAAUCAAGAUUUAAGUUUAAUCCAAAUUGAAGAAACAGAACACUGCUCUAUAUGAAAAAAAGAUAUAUUUUUAUAAAAGUAUGGGUUCUGCAAAGUAACUAAUUCAUAAAAAUAUGGCUUCUAUAAAGCAACGAUGAUGGUAAGUGGUGACCUGGUGGAUACCAGACUGUGGUGAGUGUAUCGGGCUAUCCAUCGUCUGGCGGAAGAGAGCUAAAGCUUGAAGUCGAACUAGAAGGUGCGUUAGGUUAGGCGUGAAAGACGAUGGCGGACGAACGAUGAUGGUGACCUGGUGGACGCCAGACGGUGGUGACAGACGAGCGUGUUCGGCUGUCGGCACUAGAAAGUUUGAGAUUUUGGGAGAUUUCAUAUUGGGGUCCACGGUGAGUUAUUUUUAGUUUUCAGGACUUUUAAGGUUUUUUUAUUAAAAAAAACACGAAAAUUUUAAUUAAUUGUAAAAAUUAUUUACUUUUUAUUAUGUAUGUAAAUGAUCUGAAAGUUGGUGGAGCAAAAAAGAUUGGCGCUAUCAACAUGCUAUGUUAACCAGUCGGAUUAAAAAUUUAAUUUUUCUGGUGGAGUCAUAAAAAAUGACGCCACCUAUAUAAAUAUCAGAGAUACUAAUAUUUAUUAAUAAUUCGGAGGCUAAAAAGUUAAUAAUGGUGGUGGAACCAUAGAGAAUGAUGCCACUACUUUGUCAGUUUUUUAUUUUUAAAGUGAUUUUUAUUAUUAUUUAAAACUAAUAUUUUAUUUGGUAGAAUAUAGAGAAUGACAUCAUCAAUAUUAUGUAUGUUUUUUUUUUUUAAAUUACAAUAAAAUCGCGACUAAUUGAAAUAGGAUAAUUAAUAAUAAAGUAAUAUAAUGGCAUGGAGUCUAAUAAUGAUAGCAUGGCGUUUGUGAAGAUGGUGAAGGUGGCUGGUGGUUGGUGCGCCAGAGGAUGGAAUGAAAGGUGG
rnacentral:lncRNA from 1 species